rnacentral:rRNA from 1 species
GCAAGUCUGGUGCCAGCAGCCGCGGUAAUUCCAGCUCCAAUAGCGUAUAUUAAAGUUGUUGCAGUUAAAAAGCUCGUAGUUGAACUUUGGGCCUGGGCGGACGGUCUACCUAUGGUAAGCACUGUUGCGGCCGGGUCUUUCCUUCUGGCUAGCCCUCGGGCGAACCAGGACGAUUACUUUGAGGAAAUUAGAGUGUUCAAAGCAGGCCUUUGCUCGGAUAUAUUAGCAUGGAAUAAUAGAAUAGGACGCAUGGUUCUAUUUUGUUGGUUUCUAGGACCAUCGUAAUGAUUAAUAGGGACGGUCGGGGGCAUCAGUAUUCAGUCGUCAGAGGUGAAAUUCUUGGAUUGACUGAAGACUAACUACUGCGAAAGCAUUUGCCAAA